UACGUAGGGUGCAAGCGUUAAUCGGAAUUACUGGCGUAAAGCGUGCGCAGGCGGUGAUGUAAGACAGGUGUGAAAUCCCCGGGCUUAACCUGGGAACUGCAUUUGUGACUGCAUCGCUGGAGUGCGGCAAGGGAUGGGAAUCGAUCCGUGUGAGCGAAUGACGUAGAUAUGCGGAGGAACACCGAUGGCGAAGGCAAUCCCCUGGCCUGCGCUGACGCUCCAUGCACGAAAGCGUGGGGAGCAACAGG
rnacentral:rRNA from 1 species